ACACAGCAAGGAAACUUCCUGAUGCGAAAGUUUUAGAGCAUUCUCUCCUCCUCCUCUCUGCCCUGUCAAAAAGACACGCUUAAAAACAUUCACCCGGCCUCUUGCGUCAACAUUGUGGCGCCCAUCCUCAGCCUCUUUGAAACAAAAAAGGCAGACCAACAACAUCUCACUUGGCCACCUUCAUACUCAAUUCUCCCUGCGUUACGCGAAAUCAUGUCUCAUGCCAUGCAGCUGCAGCUGCGGCUGAUUGCUUCUCGAUUCCUUGUUCCGUGCUCAUUUCUGCAGGUCUCAAUGCAAGUGUCAAUUAUAUAAAAGUCAACCACAAUAUCGAGAUUCAGCACUGCGAAUCAUCUGGAGACGUCUUAUGGGUCAUUGAAAUUAUCUGAUCUCUAUUUGUUUAUCUUCGUCAUUGUUCAAGGGUGUUGUAAAAGCUCUUUUGUUACGUGUUUCAUGAAGUGGGGAGAAAGACAGAAUUGUCCUUCAAAGAUGACAAUCAACUGGGGUCGAAAGUUUUAAGAAUUCCCCGAUACCCUACUAUCCUGAAGACUCUCUAGUCCUCACAAUUCAACACUAGCCAUAUAUUUUGGGCCAUGGUGUUGGGUUCUAAACGGCGAUUCUAUCACAGGAAUUCCAUAUAAACUGAGAGAGAUGCGGAAGACAAAGGGAUAGGUUCCUUGGAGGCUCUUCUUCCAUCUCCCGGAUUGGGCAUCAGUUUGGAAAUGCUACAGGGCUUCUACCAGGCCGAACAAGAAGCUUGAGCAGUUCCACAAGCCAAUCAGACCGACUAUACAAAAUAUCGAGCAGCUGACACUCUUACAUUGUGAUAGCUGCUAGCGGCCCUAUCUAACGGCGAUUGACGAGGUAAAGCUGCAAAGCCAGGGGUGGCGGAUGUUAGGAGGCCAACGCAUCCACGUGCCGGCGGAAUAGAUAUCCCUCCCCCUCCCUGUGGAUCCGGAUAGAAACAUCCAAGUCGUUGAGGCAAGGACAGGACUCGAAGUUGGACCCCUGGCUCCGGAGCAGCACAGUAGAGGACCUUAUGCAAAAUUUGAAACUUGGCUUACCCA
rnacentral:sRNA from 1 species